UAAACGUAGAUUGCUCUGUUGGGAUCCUUGGCGCAAUUAUAAAAAAACGUGAACCACUCCCUCCUGAGAAUGGGUUAGAGAUGGAAACCGCGUCUUUUCCGAAUACCUUCUGCGAUGCAUCUUCCCAGUGGAAAAUUUCGGGUGGGUUAGCUCCCCCAUAUCACUAAUGUGUGAGGGAACGGCUCACCAAGGCGCCAACGGGAACCGGGCCUGAGAGGCUGACCCCCCCCCCCUGGGAACUGAGACCCAGCCCUAGACUCCUUCGGGAGACAGCAAUGGGGAAUUUUGCACAAUGGGCGAAAGCCUGAUGCACCACCCCCCCGUGAGGGACAACCGCCUUUCGGGUUGUAAACCUCUUUUAACCGGGAAAAAACUAAAGGGACGGUCCCUGCAAAAAAAAGCGCCGGCUAACUACGUGCCAGCAGCCCCUGGUAAUACGUAGGGCGCAAGCGUUUUCCGGAAUUAUUGGGCAAAAAGAGCUCGAAGCGGUUUGUCGCGUCUGCUGUGAAAACCCGAAGUUCACCUCGACCUGCAGUGGGUACCGGCAGACUAGAGUGCGGUAGGGGAGAUUGGAAUUCCUGCGUGUAGCGUGAAAUGCGCAGAUAUCAGGAGGGAACACCGAUGCCGAAGGCAAUCUCUGGGCCCGUAACUGACGCUGAGAGCGAAAGGGUGGGGAGCAAACAGGCUUAGAUCCCUGGUAGUCCACCCCGUAAACGUUGGGAACUAGUUGUGGGGACCAUUCCACGGUCUCCGUGACGCAGCUAACGCAUUAAGUUCUCCGCCUGGGGAGUACGCCGCAAGACUAAAACUCAAAGGAAUUGACGGGGACCCGCACAAGCGCCGGAGCAUGCGGAUUAUUUGAUGCACCGCGAAGAACCUUACCAAGGCUUGACAUAUACGAGAACGGGCCAGAAAUAGUCAACUCUUUGGACACUCGUAAACAGGUGGUGCAUGGUUGUCGUCAGCUCGUGUCGUGAGAUGUUGGGUUAAGUCCCGCAACGAGCGCAACCCUCGUUUUAUGUUGCCAGCACGUAAUGGUGGGAACUCAUGGGAUACUGCCGGGGUCAACUCGGAGGAAGGUGGGGAUGACGUCAAAUCAUCAUCCCCCUUAUGUCUUGGGCUUCACGCAUGCUACAAUGGCCGGUACAAAGGGCUGCAAUACCGCGAGGUGGAGCGAAUCCCAAAAAGCCGGUCCCAGUUCGGAUUGAGCUCUGCACCUCGCCCUCACGAAGUCGGAGUCGCUAGUAAUCGCAGAUCAGCACCGCUGCGGUGAAUACGUCCCGGGUCUUGUACACACCGCCCGUCAAGUCAUGAGAGUCUAUCACACGUGAAGCCGUGAUCGAUCCGUGUUGA
rnacentral:rRNA from 1 species